rnacentral:lncRNA from 1 species
UUUUUUUUUUUUGGUUUUUAGGGCUGCACCUGCAUCAUGUGAAGGUUCCCAGGAUAGGGGUCUAACUGGAGCUGAAGCUGCUGGCCUAUACCACAGUCACACCAGAUCUGAGCCUAGUUUUCGACCUACAACACAGCUCACGGCAGUGCUGGAUCCUUAACCCAUGGAGCAAGGCCACAAACUCAUGGUUCUAGUCGGAUUUGUGACUGCUGCGUCACGACAGGAACUCCCCAAUCAGUGUGUCUUUGAAUAAGGAAGUACUCUGUUUCUCCUUGUCAUUAAAUCCACUGAGGCAAAUGUGGGGUGUUUGUCCCAAAUCACAGCAGGAUGUGCCAGGCACUCCUGCCUCCUAGAGCCGUAGAGGACCUCUCUGCACCUUCUCUCUAGCAUCCCAGGUAUGAGGUAUGAGCCACAGACUAUGUGCUCUCCAAUUUCUCCUGCCCCUGGCCAGUAGUGUGAUAGCAUAUUUCUUGGUGUGGAUGUGCAUGUGAUUCCCUGCUGCCAGUGGCAGGAGUGCUCUGCCAGGUCCACUCAGAAAGGCCAGGCUGGGAUGGAUGGGGGUGACCUCCAACAGGCAGGGCUCCAAGCAUCUCAGACCCCUGAUACUCACGUGCCACACUCCCAUUUCCUCUGAUAAUUUUCAGGCAAUGUAAAAAGAGGGAGGAAGUCAUCAAAGAGUAGCCUUUGGCAUCUUCACCCAUAGGCAAAAUACCCUGAUUUAUUAGAAAUGUUUCAGUUAAACCAUUAGCUCAACCUCUGCUAUACUCAGUCCUUCCAUAGGGGGUGCUGGAGGGCAGGAGGGGGAGAAGGCACUUGCUCUUUCUUACAGUGCUUAUGGUCUCCGCAGCAGAGUCUUCACCUUGGCAGCCAUGGUUGAUUCCAGAAGCCUGAAGUUCCAGUUACCAGGUUUCCUUCCCUGGCACCCACUUUAGAGACACCAGCACCAGCCUAGCCCCUCUUUGGCUCCAGGUUCCACUAACCCCAGCCCCCAGGUGAUAGCUGCUUCCUGCAGUGAGUAUGUCUUUGUGUGACCUUGGGUUCUUGUCUGACCUUUUUGCACUUCAAAACCUGCUUAACCAAGUCCUGUUUUAGAUGAUUUCUGUCAAAACUUGUAUGAUUUCCGAAAGACAGAAAUGGCUGUUUCUUUUUUUCCUUUUUUGGCUGCCCUAUGGCAUGUGGAGUUUCCAGGGCAGUGAUCUCAUCAGAUCUGUUGCCUACAUCAGCUCUGGCAACGCUGUGUCUUUUAGCCCACUGUGCUGGGUUAGGGAUCAAACCUGCAUCCUGGCACUGCUGCUGAUCCUGCUGUGGCACAGCGGAAACUCCAGAAAUGGCUUUUUCAAUAAUUCAGUCCAUUAACACUCAUGGAGGGCAGUUCUAGCUUUAUGCUGAAGUUACAAAGGUAAACAAAAUGCAUCUCUGUCUUUGAGAAGAAUCAGUGUUGAGUAAUGAUAACAGUGGUCUCUAUAGAACUCUGGUUUUGACAAGCAACAACAACAAAACGCAAAUGAUUAGAAUUAACACAUCAUUUAAAGAAAGAAAAAAAAUAUACUAUUGAAAAUGGACCAAGGUCUAAACCGGGAAUUCACAGAAGAAAUAAUAAAAGUGGUCAAGAUUUAUAUAAAUUGAUGCUUAACCUCAAUUUAAUGGAGGAAAUUCAAAUUAUAGUCAUGCACAGCUGGGUGUGAGUACAGCCACUUAAGAGUCACUUUGUAUAACCCAUCACCCUGAAGUUCUAUUGUUAAUAGCUGCCCCAGAGAGAGACUUAAACCAUGUACCAAAGGAAGCACCUACAAAGAUCUUCUUCAUGUAAUGUUAUUUUUAACAGUGAGAAAUUAAGGGAGUUCCUGUUGUGGCUCAGUGGAAAUGACUAGUAUCCAUGAGGAUGUGGGUUCGAUCCCUGGCCUAGCUCAGUGGGUUAAAGAUACCACGUUGCUGUGAGCUGUGGUGUAAGCCGGUGGCUGUAGCUCCAAUUUGACCCCGAGUUUGGGAACUUUCAUAUGUAGUGGGUACGGCCCUAAAAAGCAAGAAGAAAAACCAGUGAGAAAUUCAAAAUAAUAGAAAUAUUCAUUAAAAACAGGAAUAGCUAAAUAGAUAAUUGUACACCUUUUUUUUAAAGGAUUUUUAUUUUUUCUAUUAUAGGUGAUUUACAUUGUUCUGUCAAUUUCUGUUGUACACCAAGUACCCAGUGAUACAUACAUAUAUGUGUGUGUGUAUAUAUAUAUAUACAUAUAUAUUCUUUUUCUCACAUUAUCCUCCAUCAUGUUCCAUCACAAGUAACUAGAUAUACUUCCCUGUGCUAUACAGCAGGAUCUUGUACACAGUUUUUGUGGAAAAUAUGCUGCAGUUUUCUAAAAUGAGGUGGACCUAAAUAUACUGACAUAAAAAAUUGUUUAAGCCAUAUAAAAACAUAUACACACAUAGAUAUCUUUUCUAUGGGCAACUCCUUGAAGAAAAGCCUGGAAGCAUAUACAUUAUGUUGCUAAUAUUUGUAGAAAGAGGACUAAAAUAGGGGGCAUUGGAGAAGGGAAAAAUCAAAGGGGUACAAACAAAACACAAGCCCCUCUAAUUUUCAAAUCACCCUUUUACAUAAAAUGUCACUUACUCCUUAUAUUGACCUUAUGGUGUAAGCAUCAUUUCCACUUACAGAUGAGGGAACCUCAGCUGAGAGAUGCUAAGCCACUCUUACAAACACAACUAGUAGAGAAAUCCCUGGGCUUGAGGCUCUACUUUCCCCAGGCUCCAGAAGGAUUAGGUGGUUAGGUUAAUUGGAACUUGUCUUUGUCACUUUUCACUUUCAAUGAUUUCUCACUGUUUUAAGUGAAAGACACUUUGAGGUACCUCAGACAGUCUACCAUCUGUCAGAGUGAGGAGGGGAAAGAAAACAAUUUGCAAGCUAUCAAAAGAUAGUCCUGAUAUUUAAGAUUCUCUACCUUGCAUUUUCCAGGUGGGAACUUAGGGUCAGGCGUCAAAGGACCAGAGCAUCUGCACCCUAGCUUCUCCCACUGUGGAGUACAAAACUCUGCCCUCAAGUAGCAGGAGGAGCAGGGAAGCGGGAGGCAGUGGGGACAAGAACUGAGCUUUGACUGCCAUUCCCCCAGUGGCUAAGAGCUGCAGAGCCCCUGGUGGGGGUUAGGGAGGGCCCCUGGGGACCUGGGCCUUGCCUUCAAGAGCUCUGAUUCCUUCAUCUUAAUGAUAGCUUCAAAUGAGGUUUGGUUGUUCUUAGCAAGUACAUUUACUGAAACCAUUGAUGUGUCAAAUGUGAACAAAAAUACCACAUUUUUGGUAACUCUAGGAAUUUUCUUCUUCUCUUGUCCCCUACUUCCCCUCCCUCUGUUUCCCUUCUCUCUUCUCCUCUCCCUCCCUCCUUCCUUCAUUCACAGAGAGGGCUUAGUGGCUGGCCUUUCCUUUAAUUUCAUACCAAGUUUGAUACAAAUUUCUUAGUGUAGUCUCUAUCAGCAGUACAGUUGCUAAUUUCAAACACUAAAAAAAAGUUGUAAGUGGGUAAUGGAUAAUAUUUUGAUUGAAUAAUUGAUUUGAUAUAAUAAUUCUCCAGGCUUUCUUGUACCUAUUGGCUUUCUCAUACUGCUGGGGAGAGAGGGGUAGGAUCCUAGAUGCUCUGCCCUCAGGAGAGAGCUGACAAAGAGACAAAGUCUUAACUCUGAGUUCUAAAAUAGAUAAGAUAUAUGCAUAGCAAGAAGGAAAGUCUUGAAAGUCAAGGUUUCUGUUGUAAGAGUUGGGUUUUUGAGACAGGAUUUUAAAUUCUGAAAGUUGGGCUUGGGCCAUCAAUAACUAGUGACCUCAGGAUACAGUUCCUGAGAGCCCACCAUGGGCAUGUCUUCUCAACUCCAUGUUCAGUAACUUAAAAUCAACCAUGGUAAAAGUGUGUGUUCAGGGAGUUCCCACUAAGGUGCAGUGGGUUAAAGAUCUGGCUUGCCUCUGUGGAGGCGCUGGUUUGAUCCCCAGCCUGGCACAGUGGGUUAAGGAUCCAGUGUUGGUGCAGUUAUGUCAUAGGUCACAGCUGUGGUUCAGAUUGGAUCCCUGGCCUGGGAACUUCCAUAUGCCAUGGGUGUCACUAGAAAAAAAAAAUAGAAAUGUGUUCACCAUGGAAGUUGGCAAAUCCUCAAACCAGGGCCUUUUUCCUAGAGAGUCUGUUGUUAACAUUUUGGAAGGCGGGGAACUAGGAGAAAAGAGCACAGGCGAACUGCUGUGUAGACCCUUCAUGAGCUGAACUCAUGGUGGGGGGAGGUAGACAGAUAAAUUUCCACAUAGGGCUGGAGAUAAGAGGCCAGGUUAUUGCAUCUCAUUUCCUACCUGCAGCUCUGUGAGAAGGUUGCAGCUGCAGAGUGCUGUGUGUGAAAAUGGGCAGGAAUAACAGCAGGGCAGGUCUAGGUGUAGGGACCACAUGGGAGAGCUAGUCUCCCUGCCCCGCAACCCUCAAUCCCCCCUCAACUCUUUUAAGGCCAAAGAGUCCAUAGAGACUUCCUGUUGGACCCUGAAUUGAGCAGAGAUCAGCUCACAUUCUUGGAGUGCAGGGGCUAGUGGGGUCAUUGAUGUUCCCUUGGGGUCACCUUUUCCACCAGUUCCUCCUUUGCUAUGUUUUUCUCACUAAUGGAAUCCCAUUUAAUGGUCAGCCACCUAAGGAUCUCAUUUAAGAUACAUCCUGUAGAGUUCCCCCAUCUCAAUGUUUAGUUCAUUAAAAUGCAGCAUUGGCGUUCUUGUGGCUCAGUGGAUUAAUAACCUGACAUAGUGUCUGUGGAGAUGUGGGUUUGAUCCCUGGACUUGCUCAGUUGGUUAAGGAUUCAGCAUUGCUAAGCUGUGGUGUAGGUUGCAAAUGCAGCUCAAAUCUGGCGUUACUGUGGCUGUAGGUAGGCUGGCAGCUACAGCUCUGAUUCAACCCCUAGCCUGGGCACUUAAUAUGCCACAGGUGCAGCCAUAAAAAGAAAAAAUAAUAAUAAAAAUAAAAUGCAGCAUUGAACAUCAGAAAAUUAGGAAUAAAAUUCCCCCAGAAGGUUGAGUCUGCUGUAGGUUUCCUCAUGGCUUGAUAGACACAGAUUCCUGUGGCCCCUUUUAAAAAUAUAAGCCUCUCCUAUGAUAGAAAAAGAAGAGAAGGAAGAUAGGUGAAAACCGUAGAAAAUGGCAGCUGAAAAUCUGAUGGAAAAAGGAAAGGGGGACACCUGCAGGACAGCCAGACUGCAAUGAGAGUGAAAGGAACAGGGAAAUAGAAACAAACAAGUUACAACACCAAAGUGAGCCACAGAGGAAACAUGGAGAAGAAAAUGGAUUCUCUGAGAAAUAUUGUACAGAGGAUGCUGCACCACAAAGCAACAAGAUCUAUGGAUGCACAAAACUAACAGAGAAAGAAGAGUCGUGAGUUCCAGUGUGACAGGAGCCCCUGAUUUCUCUACUUCCUGGGAUUGAGUUAGAGGUGGGCAGCUACUCCAUGGUUCCAUAAUGCUGUAGAAAAACAGGUUCCUUCAUGGCUUGCCAAACAUGUGUACAGGCCUGUGAGAGGCAAUUGCUAAAUUUUCAGGAAUUUUGCUAAACAGUUAUUUUAAAAAUUAUGUUAGGAGGUUCCUGUCGUGGCUUAGUGGAAAUGAAUCUGAUUAGUAUCCAUGACCAUACAGAUUCAGUCCCUGGCCUCAGUCAGUGGGUUAAGGAUCCAGCAUUGCCGUGAGCUGUGGUGUAGUUCGCAGACGAGGCUUGGAUCUGGUGUUGCUGUGGCUGUGGCUGUGGCUGUGGCCUGCAGCUACAGCUCUGAUUUGACUCCUAGCCUGUCAGCCUCUGUGUGCUGCAGGUGUGGCCUUAAAAAAAAAAA